rnacentral:rRNA from 1 species
GACGAACGCUGGCGGCGUGCCUAAUACAUGCAAGUCGAGCGGACUUGAAGGAGUGCCUGCACUCCUGAGAGUUAGCGGCGGACGGGUGAGUAACACGUAGGCAACCUGCCCUCAAGACUGGGAUAACUACCGGAAACGGUAGCUAAUACCGGAUAAUUUAUUACAUAGCAUUAUGUGAUAAUGAAAGACGGAGCAAUCUGUCACUUGGGGAUGGGCCUGCGGCGCAUUAGCUAGUUGGUGGGGUAACGGCCCACCAAGGCGACGAUGCGUAGCCGACCUGAGAGGGUGAACGGCCACACUGGGACUGAGACACGGCCCAGACUCCAACGGGAGGCAGCAGUAGGGAAUCUUCCGCAAUGGGCGAAAGCCUGACGGAGCAACGCCGCGUGAGUGAUGAAGGUUUUCGGAUCGUAAAGCUCUGUUGCCAAGGAAGAACGUCUCAUAGAGUAACUGCUAUGAGAGUGACGGUACUUGAGAAGAAAGCCCCGGCUAACUACGUG